AUUGAACGCUGGCGGCAGGCCUAACACAUGCAAGUCGAGCGGAUGAAGGGAGCUUGCUCCUGGAUUCAGCGGCGGACGGGUGAGUAAUGCCUAGGAAUCUGCCUGGUAGUGGGGGAUAACGUCCGGAAACGGGCGCUAAUACCGCAUACGUCCUGAGGGAGAAAGAGGGGGAUCUUCGGACCUUACGCUAUCAGAUGAGCCUAGGUCGGAUUAGCUAGUUGGUGGGGUAAAGGCCUACCAAGGCGACGAUCCGUAACUGGUCUGAGAGGAUGAUCAGUCACACUGGAACUGAGACACGGUCCAGACUCCUACGGGAGGCAGCAGUGGGGAAUAUUGGACAAUGGGCGAAAGCCUUAUCCAGCCAUGCCGAGUGUGUGAAGAAGGUCUUCGGAUUGUAAAGCACGUUAAGUUGGGAGGAAGGGCAGUAAGUUAAUACCUUGCUGUUUUGACGUUACCAACAGAAUAAGCACCGGCUAACUUCGUG
rnacentral:rRNA from 1 species